ensembl:lncRNA
UACACUCACUCCCUGCAGCAGAUAAUAAACAUCACAGAUUAUGGAAUUGGGGUUCACUUUCUAUUCCCUGAAUAGGAGAGACAGGAGCAAAUAAGAAGAAAUGCUCACAGCUUCUGGCCAUCUGGAGGGAGAGUUGUCAGGCUACUUGAUAUUCAAAAAACCAGGUCUCCCAACAGUGAGUUCCAAAUAAUAUGCCUUGAUGUAGAUACUCUCCCACAGAGGAUGUGGGGCUUAAUCCUCAUCUCCCCCAACCCCUGCCUGUCACCACCCCUUGAGGAUGAGCUGAACUUAGUGACUCGCUUCCAAGGAAUAGAGCUGGGAAAGGGAAAGAUAGUAGAUUACAUGGAGAAGCCUGGCAGACACCACUUAACCAAGUGAUGAAGAUGAGCACCACCCGUGCUGUCUGUCCUGUGCAUGUCACCCACCCCUGACAGGAUACGAUGAGAAGGGUGCUUCAUUUCCAUGGUAUUCCUACCAAAACCUCCCAGCCCCAAUCUAAUUGUGAGACAAACAUCAGAUGAACCCAGUUUGGGGGAUAUUCUACAGGAUACCUGGCCAGUACUCAAGACUGUCAAGGUCAUUAAAAACAAGGAAAGACUCAAAAUCUGUCACAGAGCAGCGGACACCGAGGAGACACAAUGACUAAAUGCAGUGCGGUGUCCUGGAUUGUGUCCUGGAACAGAGAGAGGACAUUAAUGGAAAAACGGAUCAAAUCUAAAUACAGGCUCAAGUUUAGUUAAUAUGGUUAUUAGUUUCUUAGUUUUGACAAGUAUGCCACAGUUAUGCAAGAUGUUAACAUUAAGAGAAGCUGGGUGAAGGAUAUAUUUGAACUUAUUGUCUUUGCAACUUUCCUGUAAAUCUGAAUUUAUUGCAAAAUUUAAGAUGUAUUUAUUUGUUUUAAAAAUGCAGUUGAUCCCAAGUUUGUGAAAUGUGUGUAUGAACACACAUGCAGAAAACUGUUAUGGAGGAACAAGGAGGGUUUAGGUCUUUUUCUUGUCUGUAUUUUAAAAUUUAUCUGCAGCUGACAUGUGUCACUUCUGUAGAAAAAAGAAAUUAGAGUUGUUUUUUAAAACCCUCAUCUUCAACCAGCCAUGGGCAUCCCUCACCAGAAACCUGCCCAGAGGUGACCUUCACAGUUUCCAGGAACUGGUGCAGGUCCAGGGCCUGCCAGUGGGCGCUCAGCAGGACCCUGACAAGGGGGUCGCCCUUCCCUGCGGGUGCUGGACCCUCAGGGCCAGAAACUCUGGGUCUCACAGAGCUGUUUCUCAGCACUCAGUGCUGGGAAUGGGGAUCUAGCCCUAACCCUGCAAGACUGAAAUGAGAAGAUUUUUCUUCUGCCUGCAGCAGAGACUGUGGCCCUUGGGAAUGAGGGCGGAGCCUGGGAUAGAGGUGGGGUAGGAGGGAGGGGUCAGGUUUUCCCUGGCUGGAUAGACAAAUAUACCUCUGUUUUAGCAAAGCCUUUAUGUGAAAAUUCAGAUUUACCAAAAGGGCUAAUUCAUCCUGGAAUCCUUAAAUGAGGAGCUUUUCCUCACUGUAGAAACACAGCUAUUUAGUAAAGCAGGUGAGCCCUGAGCCUCUGGCAUGCCAGUCCCAGAGUAGCUGGGGUGGCCAUGUGGUCAUUUCCCUGGUGACACCCACUCUUGUCUCUGCAUCCCUGGCUCCCCAAGGUGCCCAAAGGACACUUUCCUGCCUUUGUCAUCUGCUUCAGGGUGGCGGGCAGAUGUGUGCUCCUCUGCACAGAGCAGGGGUUUGAGGAGUUAGUCUCUAGGGAUUUAGCUGGAGGAAUAAAAGGAGCCUGGAACAUUUUUUGCCUAGAACAUUUAUUUUAAUAAACUUGGGACCAAAGAUU